AGUCGAGGGGUAUUUGUCUUCGGACAGAGAGACCGGCGCACGGGUGCGUAACGCGUAUGCAAUCUACCUUUCACAGAGGGAUAGCCCAGAGAAAUUUGGAUUAAUACCUCAUAGUAUAUAGACCUGGCAUCAGGAUUAUAUUAAAGUCACAACGGUGAAAGAUGAGCAUGCGUCCCAUUAGCUAGUUGGUAAGGUAACGGCUUACCAAGGCUACGAUGGGUAGGGGUCCUGAGAGGGAGAUCCCCCACACUGGUACUGAGACACGGACCAGACUCCUACGGGAGGCAGCAGUGAGGAAUAUUGGACAAUGGGCGCAAGCCUGAUCCAGCCAUGCCGCGUGCAGGAUGACGGUCCUAUGGAUUGUAAACUGCUUUUAUACAGGAAGAAACACUCCCUCGUGAGGGAGCUUGACGGUACUGUAAGAAUAAGGAUCGGCUAACUCCGUGCCAGCAGCCGCGGUAAUACGGAGGAUCCAAGCGUUAUCCGGAAUCAUUGGGUUUAAAGGGUCCGUAGGCGGUUUGGUAAGUCAGUGGUGAAAGCCCAUCGCUCAACGGUGGAACGGCCAUUGAUACUGCCAGACUUGAAUUAUUAGGAAGUAACUAGAAUAUGUAGUGUAGCGGUGAAAUGCUUAGAGAUUACAUGGAAUACCAAUUGCGAAGGCAGGUUACUACUAAUGGAUUGACGCUGAUGGACGAAAGCGUGGGUAGCGAACAGGAUUAGAUACCCUGGUAGUCCACGCCGUAAACGAUGGAUACUAGCUGUUGGGGAGCAUCUCAGUGGCUAAGCGAAAGUGAUAAGUAUCCCACCUGGGGAGUACGUUUCGC
rnacentral:rRNA from 1 species